rnacentral:rRNA from 1 species
GUCUAUGGCCAGACCACCCAUGAACGCGCCCGAUCUCGUCUGAUCUCGAAAGCUAAGCAGGAGUCGGGCCUGGUCAGUACUUGGGAUGGGAGACCGCCUGGGAAUACCGGGUGCUGUAGAGC